rnacentral:snRNA from 1 species
AGACGUGAGGGCGAUCUGGCUGCGACAUCGGUCACCCCACUGACGGCCAGCGUUGAUCCGGCUGAUCUGGCUGGCUAGGCGGGUGCCCCUGUCCUCCCUUACCACUCCAUAUGCACCUGGUGGAGGAGGAUGGCCUUCCCCGAUAAAGGAGGACGUUCUUUGACCAAGGGAUAGCAGUACCUGUGCUUCCCUUCUAGAACCUCCAAAGAGGCUCUCAAGGUAAUUUGGAGGAGACCAAAGGUUAGUCAAACUUCCAAGACUCCAGAAUCAUCCAAAUGAAUCAUGGCAUGUGGCAGCUUGUCUUUUU